rnacentral:rRNA from 1 species
GAUGAACGCUGGCGGCGUGCCUAACACAUGCAAGUCGAGCGGAGACAGACAGAAAGCUUGCUUUUAGUCUGUACUUAGCGGCGGAUGGGUGAGGAACGCGUGGGUAACCUGUCCUUCACAGGGGGAUAACAGUUGGAAACGACUGUUAAUACCGCAUAUGCUCACAGCACCGCAUGGUGCAGGGAGGAAAGCCGAGACGGUGAAGGAUGGACCCGCGUCGGAUUAGCCAGUUGGCGGGGUAACGGCCCACCAAAGCGAUGAUCCGUAGCCGGCCUGAGAGGGCGACCGGCCACAUUGGGACUGAGACACGGCCCAAACUCC